rnacentral:rRNA from 1 species
UACGAAGGGGGCUAGCGUUAUUCGGAAUCACUGGGCGUAAAGGGCGCGUAGGCGGCUUUGUAAGUCGGGGGUGAAAGCCUGUGGCUCAACCACAGAAUUGCCUUCGAUACUGCAUGGCUUGAGACCGGAAGAGGUAAGUGGAACUGCGAGUGUAGAGGUGAAAUUCGUAGAUAUUCGCAAGAACACCAGUGGCGAAGGCGGCUUACUGGUCCGGUUCUGACGCUGAGGCGCGAAAGCGUGGGGAGCAAACAGGG